rnacentral:rRNA from 1 species
UACGUAGGGUGCGAGCGUUGUCCGGAAUUAUUGGGCGUAAAGGGCUCGUAGGCGGUUUGUCACGUCGGGAGUGAAAACUCAGGGCUCAACCCUGAGCCUGCUUCCGAUACGGGCAGACUAGAGGUAUGCAGGGGGAGAACGGAAUUCCUGGUGUAGCGGUGAAAUGCGCAGAAUAUCAGGAGGAACACCGGUGGCGAAGGCGGGACUCUGGGGCCGAAUGACUGACGCUGGAGGAGCGAAAGCGUGGGGAGCAAACAGGA